ACGUAGGGGGCGAGCGUUAUUCGGAAUUACUGGGUGUAAAGGGUAUGUAGGCGGCCCUUCAAGUCGCGUGUCAAAGUCCAGUGCUCAACGCUGGGGGUGCGCUCGAUACUGAUGAGCUUGAGGGCUGGAGAGGUGAGCGGAAUUCCCGGUGUAGUGGUGAAAUGCGUAGAGAUCAGGAGGAACACCAGCGGCGAAGGCGGCUUUCUGGACUGUUUCUGACGCUAAGGUACGAAAGCGUGGGGAGCAAACAG
rnacentral:rRNA from 1 species